CCUGGUCCCCCGCCAACAAGCUGCUUCAACACCUUUCCAGGGACAGAGUCUUCAGGCACCUCUCCUGUUCUCCAGGACCUUUCAAAGAUGAUACAGAGUGGUUUGGCGAUCACCUCCGCUAACUCCCUCAUCACAUGUGGAUGCAUCCCAUUGGGGCCCAUGGAUUUGUGUGUGUUGAUCAUACUCAGAUGCUCCCAAACCACUCCCUCAUCAACCGGGGGGGGAGAUUUCCAUUUCCCAGACUCUUUCUCCUCCCUCCAGGGUCCAG